GUGGGGAAUAUUGGACAAUGGGCGAAAGCCUGAUCCAGCCAUGCCGCGUGCAGGAUGAAGGCCUUCGGGUUGUAAACUGCUUUUGUACGGAACGAAACGGUCCGGGUUAAUACCCUGGGCUAAUGACGGUACCGUAAGAAUAAGCACCGGCUAACUACGUGCCAGCAGCCGCGGUAAUACGUAGGGUGCAAGCGUUAAUCGGAAUUACUGGGCGUAAAGCGUGCGCAGGCGGUGCUGUAAGACAGGCGUGAAAUCCCCGGGCUCAACCUGGGAAUUGCGCUUGUGACUGCAGUGCUGGAGUGCGGCAGAGGGGGAUGGAAUUCCGCGUGUAGCAGUGAAAUGCGUAGAUAUGCGGAGGAACACCGAUGGCGAAGGCAAUCCCCUGGGCCUGCACUGACGCUCAUGCACGAAAGCGUGGGGAGCAAACAGGAUUAGAUACCCUUGUAGUCC
rnacentral:rRNA from 1 species